UAGGGAAUCUUCGGCAAUGGGGGCAACCCUGACCGAGCAACGCCGCGUGAGUGAAGAAGGUUUUCGGAUCGUAAAGCUCUGUUGUAAGAGAAGAACGUGUGUGAGAGUGGAAAGUUCACACAGUGACGGUAACUUACCAGAAAGGGACGGCUAACUACGUGCCAGCAGCCGCGGUAAUACGUAGGUCCCGAGCGUUGUCCGGAUUUAUUGGGCGUAAAGCGAGCGCAGGCGGUUUACUAAGUCUGAAGUUAAAGGCAGUGGCUUAACCAUUGUUCGCUUUGGAAACUGUUAAACUUGAGUGCAGAAGGGGAGAGUGGAAUUCCAUGUGUAGCGGUGAAAUGCGUAGAUAUAUGGAGGAACACCGGUGGCGAAAGCGGCUCUCUGGUCUGUAACUGACGCUGAGGCUCGAAAGCGUGGGAGCAAACAGG
rnacentral:rRNA from 1 species